rnacentral:rRNA from 1 species
UAGAAGAUGACGAGUGGCGGACGGGUGAGUAAUGCUUGGGAACUUGCCUUUGCGAGGGGGAUAACAGUUGGAAACGACUGCUAAUACCGCAUAAUGUCUUCGGACCAAACGGGGCUUCGGCUCCGGCGCAAAGAGAGGCCCAAGUGAGAUUAGCUAGUUGGUAAGGUAACGGCUUACCAAGGCGACGAUCUCUAGCUGUUCUGAGAGGAAGAUCAGCCACACUGGGACUGAGACACGGCCCAGACUCCUACGGGAGGCAGCAGUGGGGAAUAUUGCACAAUGGGGGAAACCCUGAUGCAGCCAUGCCGCGUGUGUGAAGAAGGCCUUCGGGUUGUAAAGCACUUUCAGUUGUGAGGAAAAGUUAGUAGUUAAUACCUGCUAGCCGUGACGUUAACAACAGAAGAAGCACCGGCUAACUCCGUGCCAGCAGCCGCGGUAAUACGGAGGGUGCGAGCGUUAAUCGGAAUUACUGGGCGUAAAGCGCACGCAGGCGGUUUGUUAAGCUAGAUGUGAAAGCCCCGGGCUCAACCUGGGAUGGUCAUUUAGAACUGGCAGACUAGAGUCUUGGAGAGGGGAGUGGAAUUCCAGGUGUAGCGGUGAAAUGCGUAGAUAUCUGGAGGAACAUCAGUGGCGAAGGCGACUCCCUGGCC